AUGGGUGAUGUCAAGGAGGAGAUGGACAGAGGCAGAUCCUACUCCGACAAUGUCGAAGCUGCAGAUCCCACUCCCACCACCGUCGCCAAAACUGACGGCCGCGAUAUCAAGCUGCUACUUGAAGCUGCAGGCGACGACAGGGCCGCGAUCGUGCCAGCAGGCAACAGAGGCGGGGUCAACGCCGCGCCAGGGGAGGCUGCGCCAGUAGGGGCCGGCCCAGCCGGCGGCCCAACAUGCGGCCCAGCAUGCAUGGCGGGGGACCGGGGCGACGUGGACGACGUCGACGCGGCUCCAGGCGACGAGGGCGUCGAACCGGAGGAGGGAGCCGUGGAUGGCCCCGAUCCGGAGGAGGGUGUCGCGGGCGGGGGUGCCAGAGCACCCAAGGCCAGCAGCGGGCGGCGGCGCGGAGGAGAACCUGUCGCGGGAGGGGAAGACGGUGCCACCUGUUCCUGGGGCGCCGUACGCGCCGUAGGAGGGCGCGACAGGAGGGGCGCCGUGCGCACCGAGAGGUGCAUAUGCACAACAAACAACACAGGCUAUGGUAAUAUGGACGAGAUGGACGGAGGCAAACCAGCCGACCAAUUAGCCAUGGAGGCCGAGGAGAAGCAGCAUAUGAUCGAGCAGACGAAAUACGACGACGAAAGUGACUUCGGCUACGACGUAGAUGUCGAUGAGUGGCGUGCUACCACGUUCGAUUCAGACAAGCUGUUACUUUUACCUGCAGACCCCGCUCCCACCAACAUGGGUUAUGGUAAUGUCGAUGAGAUGGACAGAGGCAAAUCGGCUGAGCAAGUGGCCAUGGAGGCCGAGGAGAUGGCCCACGAGGAGAUGCGGGAGGUCGAUGCGGAUCGUGCGUGCCUGUCGCUAAUGACCAGUCGGCAGGAACUGAAGAGCCUAUUGCAUGGCAUUCGGGGGCCCCUCCACAUUGGGGGCCCGGAGCGGCCGCCCCCCCUGCCCCCCCUCAGGGCCGGCCCUGGGAGAGUGAUUUCGCCAUGUACGCCAAAACCCGGGACAGGAGAUGGGCUCACGAGAGGGGCGUUAGCUCUCGUUUUUAGGGGGCUGCACAACCCACAGGUGCUAGAAGCACUAGCUGUUCGUGAGGCAUUAGCACUUUCAGAAGAUCUCUAUAUCAACCAUUUGCUGGUGGCCUCCGAUUGCAAGGUGGUGGUAGAUGCAAUCAGGCAGGGAAGCUCAGCAGAUUUUGAAGCCAUUGUCGAAGAAAUCAAGGCUAGAGCAACACACUUUAUUUCAUCGACGCUGAGCUCCACGCAGUUCAUACACAUGCUACCUAGUACCAAUUCCUACGGUACGGGAUUCCCGCCCACCCUGCAGAUCCUCUCCAUCAAACUCGUGGAAAUAAAAGGUGGAUUGGAAUGGCCCUUGCCCGUGUGUGGCGUGGUUGCUGCCCGAGACACCGUGGAUCACAACCGUAACCUUCUGUUUGCUCGUGAUUGGAGCGAGUGCCAGAGAGUUGAGAAAGACGAAAAGGAAGCGAUGCGCCACCGCCACGCCGGCUCCUACCCCGUGCCGCCAAGUCCCCAGCGCUUGCCUCGCCGUGCAUAUUCCCCGACGUGCUGCCAAGACCCCGGCUCCCAGCCGCCUCUUGUCCUAAUUCCUCUCCUCCGGCGAGGAUCCAUUUCUUCCGCCACCGUCGCCGUCGCGGUCGCCGUGCUCAUCGACGAACUCACAGUUUUAAUCCAUCGAGUCCUCCAUCCAGAAAAAUUCCUGUCCUUCCCGGGUGGGCGUGGCGGCUGGGCGGCAAUCGCCGGGUCAGAGCUCUCUCCGGUUUCCGAACGAUCGCUGGUCUGCCUCGGCUCCGGCCUCACACCACCCAUCGUCCAACAAAAGAAAAAUACACUCAGCCAUGAAACCAACGAGAACAAGCGAGAGAAGGGGGAGAGGGGAGGAUCGGAGAGGAUCUGGGUCGGGAUCCCAGGCAUGCCGAUGGCAAGGAGAUCUUGGAGGCGUGGCGGCGGUGGGCCGGGGGUGGUGGUCACGAUGCCGAUGGAGCUGGCGGCGGCGGAAGGGUUAGACAACGUCAUCAUCAUCAACCGCCCGGACCAGGCCGGCAUCGGCUGCGACCUCUACCGCAACAUCUCGAGUUCGACCUUCGUAUCUCCCGCCGCGCAGCAGUUCAAUCAUAAGCACAAACAAAAACCGGCAAGAUGUUGUAACCUGUUCUACAGGAAUCUCUACGCAUGUGGUCCUGUUGCUGAUGGACUCCUCUGGCUCUGGCCGUCGGUUCAGUUGCCUUACAUCUCUCUCGCACCUUGGUUCGCUUUCGCCGGGAGAACCGACUCGGCAGUCGGCUCUCCUUUCGUCCACAGAAGAACAACCUGGAUGUGCCAUUAUUUCUGUAUCGAGCAGUUCACAUGGAAUUAUGCUUAUACAUCAUAUAUCUUUGUUCCAACUAUUCCAGUAUCAUGUGGUGAUGGAUUGAAUGUAGUACGGUACAAUGAACAGCGCUACCACGGCAGAAAGGGUGCCAUUUGCUUUGAGAACUGCCUUUGCACCUUAGAAUUGAGUUUGGAGGUAAUUCGGCAAACGGUCCAGGCCACUUUCCUGGGUAUCCGUCUCAAAGGGGGGCCAUGGCCUAACAAAUAUGGAGGUAGAGUUGUUUGCUUCGCACCAUCAGCGUCAGUCGAGAUCAUUGAUGGUCAAGUCACUACCAUUCAUGAUGACCAACCUGGAGAAGUGGUGCUGGUUGAUUCUCGCCGUAGAGCAAUGCCUAUGGCUUCGGCUGGUUACCUUCUCAUCUCAAGGCAGGUUGUUUCUGUGGAAAUUCAAGGCAGCCUGAAAGUUGUCUUGCAGACUUACUCUGCAUCUGGUGAUAUCGAUUCAGAAACUCAGGUGUGCUUCGCGCCCGAAUAUUUCAACCCUCGUGUGACGACAUCUAUGUAA
rnacentral:rRNA from 1 species